CAGUUAAGAAGAUUCUUCGGAUGAUUCUUAACUGACUGAGCGGCGGACGGGUGAGUAACGCGUGGGUGACCUGCCCCAUACCGGGGGAUAACAGCUGGAAACGGCUGCUAAUACCGCAUAAGCCCACGGUACCGCAUGGUACAGUGCGAAAAACUCCGGUGGUACAGGAUGGGCCCGCGUCUGAUUAGUUAGUUGGCGGGGUAACGGCCCACCAAGACGACGAUCAGUAGCCGGCUUGAGAGAGUGAACGGCCACAUUGGGACUGAGACACGGCCCAAACUCC
rnacentral:rRNA from 1 species